rnacentral:rRNA from 1 species
UUUGACACGGACUACCAAGGCUUUGUGGUACGCUCUCGAAGAGUCGAGUUGUUUGGGAAUGCAGCUCUAAAUGGGUGGUAAAUUCCAUCUAAAGCUAAAUAUUGGCGAGAGACCGAUAGCGAACAAGUACCGUGAGGGAAAGAUGAAAAGCACUUUGGAAAGAGAGUGAAACAGUACGUGAAAUUGUUGAAAGGGAAACGCUUGAAGUCAGUCGCGUCGAUCGAGACUCAGCCUUGCCUCGGCUUGGCGUACUUCUCGGCUUGACGGGUCAGCAUCGAUUUUGACCCUCGGAUAAUGAUGGGGGAAAUGUGACACCUUUAUGGUGUGUUAUAGUCUCCCGUCGGAUGCGAGGGUUGGGAUUGAGGAACUCGGCACGUACCGUGCUUAGGAUGUUGGCAUAAUGGCUUUAAACGACCCGUCUUGAAACACGGACCAAGGAGUCUAACAUGCCCGCGAGUGUUCGGGUGGAAAACCCGUGCGCGUAAUGAAAGUAAAAGUUGGGACCCCUGUCGUGGGGGGCACCGACGCCCGGACCAGACCUUCUGUGACGGAUCUGCGGUAGAGCGUGCAUGUUGGGACCCGAAAGAUGGUGAACUAUGCCUGAAUAGGGUGAAGCCAGAGGAAACUCUGGUGGAGGCUCGUAGCGAUUCUGACGUGCAAAUCGAUCGUCAAAUUUGGGUAUAGGGGCGAAAGACUAAUCGAACCAUCUAGUAGCUGGUUCCUGCC